GGCCCAGGUGGCAAGAUGACCUUCAGGGACGAUGGCCCACAAUCCCUACCCGGCCACCGGGAAGGCGGCUGCCAUGGUGCAAGGUGGGAGCAGUGUCGGCUGCGGCCCGGCAGGGGCGGUUGCUAGGUCCACUCUGUGUACACAACAAGGCCGGCUCGCGUUCCCUCACAAACAGCUCCUGGCAGGCUCGGGAGCUGGCCGCCUGGCUGCUUGCUCUCCCACGCCAGCCCCAGCUUCCUGGGGGGCCUCGGACACCGGAGGGGGAAGCGAAGCUCGGGAACUGGCUGAGCGCCCAGCAGAGCACCUCGCCCAGCAGGUCCGGACUGAAUGUCAUGGAGGACGGUUGUCACUGAGUGCUACAUGCCUACUUGAGAGGCUGAGCAGGAGGAUCCCAAGUUCCAGGCAAGUGUGGGCAACUUAGCAAGACCCUGUCUCAAAAUAAAUAGAAAGGGCUGGGGGUGCAGCUCAGGAGCAAAGCACCUGCCUAGCCUGUGAGUCCGGGGUUCCAUGCCUAGUACCACGAAAAAAAGAGUUACUGUAUCCCCAGGGCCUCAGGCCACCCUAGAUGUCCAUGUCCACACUGUGGUUUAGGGCGGAGGCCCUGGGCCACCCAGUAUCAGCUCAGCUUCUGGAGGAACUAGACACUGAUGUCAGCCACCCUGGUGAUUAUCCACGUGGACAGGACAAACCCCCAGUAAAAACCUCAGCCCCCAAGGCCAGGGAACAUCCCCGGUUGGCAGUACACUAUGCCUGUUGUCACACACAGCUGGGAGGUUCCAACACUGUCCACGUGACUCCACUGGAGGGGAAACUGGAAGUCACUGCUUAGUCUCCAAUUCCCUUUCUGACCUGAACUCACGUCCCUCUGCUGUGAUAAUCCACCCUGUGACAGUUCCAGAUGAGCGCAGUCCUCCUGGCGCUGCCCAACUUGAGAGUAGACGUGGGGACUCCCUGAAUCUGUAGGCACUGACAGCCCCCCAGGCCUGGCUGGAAACCCCUGGGAGCAGGACCCUUCUCUACCCAGUGGACCUCACGCCUCAGCUCAGUGAGCUGCUGGGCACUGAGGCACUGGAGUUAGCUCAACCUCUUCCUGCGGUCACGCCACAUCCCUUGUUAUGUCCCUCUCCCGGCGUCAUCAUCCUGUCCCCCACCAUGCUGUGCUCCUGAAGCCAGAGACCGCACAGAACUGCAGCAACACUGCUGGUGGACACACGCACACGGGGCACACGGGUGAAUGGACGGACACACGCAGGGAUGGACAGACGCCACUGCUCUUGCCCUCUGAGCUCAUGGUCACCGGCUGGGGACAGGCCCACCUGCAAGCCAUAUAAGACCAAGGUCAGACCAGACGCCUGGCCCUGGAGGGACCUCCUAGGAGGGCACAGAAGAUUCCAGACAACGUCCCUCCACCCCAGACUCAUGAGAGCCGACAAAGGGCCAUAGAUGAGGAGCUGAAGCCUGGAGAGGACGUCAAGCCCAGGCCACAGCUCCCAGGGUGCCCCUCACUGUGGCCUAAGGGUCAGACAGACCAGGGUCAGAGUCCAGACUCCCCCGUCAUGGGAAUGGGCCCCCGAUGCCCUGGCCCCCCACCUUGUACUCUGCCCAGCCCGGCUCCCGCAGGGCCUCUCCUGUGCCAGCCCACCUCCACCCGCAUCCUGGAGGGGCCUCCCUGUCCCACACAAGGAGCAGCCCCCGUCGCCGCCACAGCAGGCCCUGGCUCUGUGACUGUCCUGACACUGUUUUUAUCGGGAAAGUUGUAGAUUUACAGAAAAUGGCAGAGAUGCUCUUGAGAGCUCCGAGCACCCCUCGCCCAGCGUCCCUCAGAGCUCGCCUCUCACUCCUGAAGCGUGGGAGUCAAAUGACAGCCACGACCUCGGUACAGCACCACCGGCUGGGCUACCUGUGCUCUCGUCAUGGCUCCACAAUCUCCUGGCUUGUGUCACCUCAAUGACCACGUCUGAACUGCCCCGCCUCAUGAAUGUCCGUCCUUUAGCCUCCCGAGCCCACCAGAUGGCCAGCACUUGGGACUUGGUCGGAUGGUCGCUGCUGCGUCUGGCACCAGAGCUGUGCGGCUGCGGCAGACCUGAGGGAAGUGCUACAGGUCCCUCGCUUGCUGCCUGCUAGCAGCAGCCCUGGACUUUUCCAGAACACCAUCCCCAGGCCAUGAACCUCAAACCCUCGAUUGUGACCAACCACUCAGCAGCGCCUGGCCUUUGGGGUCAGAGGGGAUGACAGUUGAGGACAGAUGUCCCCGCCACUGCCCUGGCUCUGAAGGGACCUCCCAGGCCCCAGAGGUGUCUCAGGUCCCACAUCCGUGAACCCAACCAACUGCAGAUCAGAAUUACAUGGAGAAAAAAUUCACUAACACUGAAGAUGCGCAGAUCCAGCACGGCCACGCAGCUGCUGAGCACUAGUCACGGUGAAGGAGACGGUCCGCAACGGCGGGCGGCGGGGGUUCUAGGAGCGAGGAUGCUGGCAUAUCUUUUGGGGUGACACCAUCAAACGCACAGGCCUUCUGAGGAUGGCAAGCUCCAGGGCUGCCCAGCUAGAAAGUGGCCAAGACGACAUGGACUCCACACCUGAGCGGAACCCUGCAUGGCCCUGCACGGCUGGGGCCAGAGCCCUCCUGGGACCAGGGAUCAGUGGGAGACAACAGAGGACUGUGCCCAGAGGUGGACCCGGUGCUCCUGGUCAGAGCAGCGGUUCAGUUAUCAAGGACACCAGCUCCCUCGAGGUAAAGAGCAGCCUCUGGCCCUGCCCUCAGCCCCAGCCCCUCAUUUCUAGGCAGGGACCCCCCACACCUCCCGUGUAGCCUCUGCUUAUGUCCCACGACCUUCUGCACAAAAUCCUCAAUCCCCAUCCCAUGAAGCCUGAGGAGGCCCCUUGUGCUGAUGGGCUCUGCUGCACCCAGUGUCCACGCUCCUGCAGGCCCAUCCCCCAUCCCCCACAGGUUGGGAGAAGCAGGGUCCCAAGGCUGGAGAGCAGUGGCCAGGUGACCCUGGGAAGGCCUGUAGUGAUUCGGCUAUGGCGACUUCUCCAGAGGGGACAAGAUCCUGGGGCAGUCCCCAGUCUCCUGAGGAGUCCUGUGCGGCACCAGGUGACAAUUCCCCUGCCACCAUCCCCACCUUACUGCAGACGGCGUGGCCUUGGUUAGGCCUGUCGGCAGUCACUAGGGCAACAGCCUGGCCUUCUAAUGAGAUUAAAGGGAGCAGACUGGCCAGCUCCGCCCUGCUCAGGGGCAGCGGCGCAGACAGGAGUUGGGGACGGAGGAGCUGUGUGGGCUGAGCAGGUCUCAGUUUGGCCCUCCCACCGGGACGGCCUGCAUGGUCUGGCCCUCCACUCUCCCCAACACUGUACCCCAGCACACGGGCUUCCUUGGGGCCCUUCCGCCGCCCACACCAGUCACGGCUGCUGCAGGGCCUUUGCACGGGCACUGCCCCCGCCAGGAAGCAUCUCCCUGGGAACAGGACACCACCCAGCCCUGGAAAGCUGCCUUCUCCAGCUGAGCCCCUGACCAAGCUCUGUGGGUCUGUCUCCGGUCACACUUUCCCUGAGGCCCAGAGCAGAGCCGGACAGUGGUGGAGUCCAGCACAUGUGGGGGACAGUGAGAUGUGAGGAACCAUUCACAGACGGCUCCUGGAUUCCCAGGCAGGGCCCGCGCCCCGCCUGUUCCCACACAAGCUGCUGCCCCUCCCCCCGGGCAAGAUACGAAAACUGAGGCUCGAGGACAAAGGGGGGCUGUCCAAGUGUAGAAGUGGCAGGUACUGCCGCUGAGGGAGGGGAGGGCGUGCUGUUUGUGCCAGCUCCAGCUGGUGACACUCGGUGUCCUGGGUCAUUCGCCACCCGGGCCCUGCAAACCUGAGGUGGAGUCCCAGGAAGGCAGCCUGGGCAGAGGGGCUCUGAAUGCAGGGCUGCUCAAGGAACGGAGGGACAGGGCUCCACGGGGUCCUCCAAGCGUCCUGAGAGUCGUGGUGGCAGGAGACUUCCCCCUCCGCAGACAGGCGCGUCCUUCUGACAGUUCACACUGGCCCAGCGGCCAGUCUGCAAUGGCUGACAUGACAGCGUCCCCAAGGAAAGCAUCUGGCCAACACUGGGCCCUGCUCUGUGUGGAGGGCACUGGCAGCAGGCCAGAAAGACAGAGCGCUACCUGCGGAGCCCCGGGGCUGGUGGACUUCAGCACGCACACGGGCAAGAAGCGGCGGGGGCAGAAGGCAAACGUGGAGGUUCAGGCUGGGCUGAAAGCAAGAGCCAUGAAGGCCUCGAGGACAUGGCAAAGAACAGGGAAGGACAAAUGUUAAGUGCAAAGGCCCUGGGGCUGGCUGGUGGCACCGGGUCUGAGGACCACAGUGGCAGCCAAGGUCAGAGAGUGGCUGAGAGGAUGGAAGCUCUCAGUGACACUCUGCAUCAUCAGCCAGGCCAGGGACCUCAGCCCGACAGCUCCAGGGCCUGCUCAUGGUGCCCAGGCCCACAGCAAAUAAACCGCCUGAAGCCCUGA